CACGUAGGGGGCAAGCGUUGUCCGGAUUUAUUGGGCGUAAAGAGCUCGUAGGCGGCUCAGUAAGUCAGGUGUGAAACCUCCAGGCUCAACCUGGAGACGCCACCUGAUACUGCUGUGGCUAGAGUCCGGUAGAGGAGAGUGGAAUUCCUGGUGUAGCGGUGAAAUGCGCAGAUAUCAGGAAGAACACCCGUGGCUAAGGCGGCUCUCUAGUACGGUACUGACGCUGAGACGCGAAAGCGUGGGGAGCGAACAGG
rnacentral:rRNA from 1 species